rnacentral:rRNA from 1 species
AGUGAACGCUGGCGGUAGGCCUAACACAUGCAAGUCGAACGGCAGCACAGUAAGAGCUUGCUCUUACGGGUGGCGAGUGGCGGACGGGUGAGGAAUACAUCGGAAUCUACUUUUUCGUGGGGGAUAACGUAGGGAAACUUACGCUAAUACCGCAUACGACCUACGGGUGAAAGCAGGGGAUCUUCGGACCUUGCGCGAUUGACUGAGCCGAUGUCGGAUUAGCUAGUUGGCGGGGUAAAGGCCCACCAAGGCGACGAUCCGUAGCUGGUCUGAGAGGAUGAUCAGCCACACUGGAACUGAGACACGGUCCAGACGCCUACGGGAGGCAGCAGUGGGGAAUAUUGGACAAUGGGCGCAAGCCUGAUCCAGCCAUACCGCGUGGGUGAAGAAGGCCUUCGGGUUGUAAAGCCCUUUUGUUGGGAAAGAAAAGCAGCAGGUUAAUACCCCGCUGUUCUGACGGUACCCAAAGAAUAAGCACCGGCUAACUUCGUG